rnacentral:lncRNA from 1 species
AGAAAAUCCAAUAAAUUUUCCAAUUUAACCUCAUGUAUCGACAUUUUGUGUUUACAGUUGCAUAACCUGAUUAUUUACAAAAUUUUAUCUCCUCUCGUAUUUUUCUGAAAAAUUGAUUAAAUUUCAUCGAAAACUAGUCUCUUAUGCAGUUCAUUGAUCAAUUGAGAACGUAAAGUUUUUCGGUUCUGUUAUUGUUGUACUUUCUGUGACUGGAACUACGAAGUCUCAUCCGUAGAAAUGCUAUGGCGAAGUUUGUCUGUGUUUGCCUUAGUUUUCACGUGUGUUAAAAGUUUGGGUGAUCCGUAUCAAAUUUUGAACGUGCCGAGGACAUCAACACUUCAGGAAAUCAAAAGAGCCUACAAACAACUGGCCAAAGAAUGGCAUCCAGACAAAACAAAGAUCCGGAAGCUGAAGAAAAGUUUGUUGAAAUCAAACAGGCGUACGAGUUACUCUCAGAUCCAGAACGCAGACAGCAAUUUGACGUAUUUGGAACAACUGAGGAGCAGCCCCAGCGUGAUGAUGGCAGAACGCAAAGAUUUGAUGCCGAUUUCUUUGCCGGCUCAGGUUUUAGUUUCAAGUUCCAGGACAGAGACAUCACUGUUUUCCACAAAUUAA